CGUCUACGAGUUUGAUCCUGGCUCAGAACGAACGCUGGCGGCAGGCCUAACACAUGCAAGUCGAGCGCCCCGCAAGGGGAGCGGCGGACGGGUGAGUAACGCGUGGGAACGUACCCUUUGCUACGGAAUAGCCUCGGGAAACUGGGAGUAAUACCGUAUGUGCCCUUCGGGGGAAAGAUUUAUCGGCAAAGGAUCGGCCCGCGUUGGAUUAGGUAGUUGGUGGGGUAAUGGCCUACCAAGCCGACGAUCCAUAGCUGGUUUGAGAGGAUGAUCAGCCACACUGGGACUGAGACACGGCCCAGACUCCUACGGGAGGCAGCAGUGGGGAAUCUUAGACAAUGGGCGCAAGCCUGAUCUAGCCAUGCCGCGUGAGCGAUGAAGGCCUUAGGGUUGUAAAGCUCUUUCAGUGGGGAAGAUAAUGGCUGUACCCACAGAAGAAGCCCCGGCUAACUCCGUG
rnacentral:rRNA from 1 species